GACGUAGGGCGCGAGCGUUGUCCGGAUUUAUUGGGCGUAAAGAGCUCGUAGGCGGCUUGUCGCGUCUGCUGUGAAAACCAGAGGCUCAACCUCUGGCCUGCAGUGGGUACGGGCAAGCUAGAGUGCGGUAGGGGAGAUUGGAAUUCCUGGUGUAGCGGUGGAAUGCGCAGAUAUCAGGAGGAACACCGAUGGCGAAGGCAGGUCUCUGGGCACUUACUGACGCUGAGGAGCGAAAGCGUGGGGAGCGAACAGG
rnacentral:rRNA from 1 species